rnacentral:rRNA from 1 species
AUUCUGGUGUCUUAGGCGUGGAGGAACCACACCAAUCCAUCCCGAACUUGGUGGUGAAACUCCAUUGCGGUGACGAUACUGUGGGGGAAGCCCCAUGGAAAAAUAGCUCGACGCCAGGAUGAAUAGAAACUUAUCGUUCA